rnacentral:rRNA from 1 species
GACGUAGGGCGCGAGCGUUGUCCGGAUUUAUUGGGCGUAAAGAGCUCGUAGGCGGCUUGUCGCGUCGACCGUGAAAACUUGGGGCUCAACCCCAAGCCUGCGGUCGAUACGGGCAGGCUAGAGUUCGGUAGGGGAGACUGGAAUUCCUGGUGUAGCGGUGAAAUGCGCAGAUAUCAGGAGGAACACCGGUGGCGAAGGCGGUUCUCUGGGCCUUACCUGACACUGAGGAGCGAAAGCGUGGGGAGCGAACAGG